AUUGAACGCUGGCGGCAUGCUUUACACAUGCAAGUCGAACGGUAACAGGCCGCAAGGUGCUGACGAGUGGCGAACGGGUGAGUAAUGCAUCGGAACGUGCCCAGUCGUGGGGGAUAACGCAGCGAAAGCUGCGCUAAUACCGCAUACGAUCUAAGGAUGAAAGCGGGGGACCGUAAGGCCUCGCGCGAUUGGAGCGGCCGAUGUCAGAUUAGGUAGUUGGUGGGGUAAAGGCUCACCAAGCCGACGAUCUGUAGCUGUCUGAGAGGACGACCAGCCACACUGGGACUGAGACACGGCCCAGACUCCUACGGGAGGCAGCAGUGGGGAAUUUUGGACAAUGGGCGCAAGCCUGAUCCAGCAAUGCCGCGUGCAGGAAGAAGGCCUCGGGUUGUAAACUGCUUUUUGUACGGAACGAAACGGCUCUGGUUAAUACCCGGGGCUAAUGACGGUACCGUAAGAAUAAGCACCGGCUAACUACGUGCCAGCAGCCGCGGUAAUACGUAGGGUGCGAGCGUUAAUCGGAAUUACUGGGCGUAAAGCGUGCGCAGGCGGUGCUGUAAGACAGGCGUGAAAUCCCCGGGCUUACCUGGGAAUGGCGCUUGUGACUGCAGUGCUGGAGUGCGGCAGAGGGGGAUGGAAUUCCGCGUGUAGCAGUGAAAUGCGUAGAUAUGCGGAGGAACACCGAUGGCGAAGGCAAUCCCCUGGGCCUGCACUGACGCUCAUGCACGAAAAGCGUGGGGGAGCAAACAGGAUUA
rnacentral:rRNA from 1 species